rnacentral:tRNA from 1 species
GGGUGAUUAGCUCAGCUGGGAGAGCACCUCCCUUACAAGGAGGGGGUCGGCGGUUCACCUCCCUUACAAGGAGGGGGUCGGCGGUUCGAUCCCGUCAUCACCCACCA